GGAGACCCUUGAAGCUGUUCGAAGACACCCCCAUCCCCCUGGGGGAGAAAGGGAACAAGAACUACUGACCCAAAUGAAAAGUGGAAAAUUUCCUCAUUUAUGAAAGCAUAACCCAGAGGAUCCUAAGUUUUGCCAAUGCAGGAAAGGGAGGAAGAUUUGGUUGAGCCUUUGAAGGGGAUUCCUGAGGAGAGAUGAAGAGGGAGGGCAUUACCCUUCUUGUUGGAAUGAAGGCAGAGGGAGUCAUGGGGAAGGAGCCACAAAGAGAAGCCAGGAAUGGAGACUGUACUCCCCCGCCCAGAACCUUGCAGAACAAAGGUGCGGGGGCUCAUUAUCCCUAUUAGCAGCUAGGAGACCCACACUCUCCUGGGACUUCUCCCAGAAACAGUCCUCCCGCCGGAAGCUGCCCUUUGAGUGGACCCCAACCCCUCCCGUGUAGGGCCCGUAACCAGCCUGCCUCUCCACAGCCCCUACCCCCAGUCCUGGCGGCUUCCUCUGGCGCCUCCGAGAACAAGGCUCAUCCUUCCCUAUGACAGACAGGCCAGGGCGGCCUCCACCCAAGCGUGAGAGAACGUCACAGCUCUGGGUCCGGGGCCUCUCCUGCUCUGGAAAAGCUGCCGAAGCCUCGGGCCCCGCUCUCACAAGGUUUUAAACCCAUCAGGAAAAAUAGGUACAAUUAUAAGGAGACCAAAUGUGCCGAAAUAAUGAUGAAUGUUCAUAAAUCACUGACCUUAAGGACCCGCCCCAAAUGCAGGUUAACUCCAUGACGUCAUUGCAGCCCAGGAGGAAAACCGGCCUUUCUCAUUGGGGCCGCCAGGGCGCCUCCCGGAUCCUUCCGCCGUUUCGCUCACGCGGCUCUGCGACAAUUACACCAAAGAGAAGUCAGUCCCUCAGAGCCCGGCUCCGCGCUGAGCAUCGCGGGAACAAAGGGGAGGGAAACACGAUCCUCGCCCUGAGCGGCUCCCGGUCCCAGGGGGAGAAAACCCGAAAACUGCGCAAACAAGGGGCGGAGCCUGUGGGGCCUCCCUCCCCUCUGGGCCCGGCAGCAGGACGGGCGGGAGUUCGCUGGGGCGCGGCUGACGGGCGGAGCCGGCGCCACAUCCCCAGGUCCCUGGUCCCCAAAGCGCCCCGGCCCCGGGGCCCCUGCAGGGGGCGCCCCCACUCACCGAGGGAGCGGCGGGCGGAGGGAGCCCGGCGGCCAUUUCUCCCCCUCGGAGCCUCCCCCGGAGCGGGAGCCACAAAGCGGCAGGAAGGAGCUUCUCAUCCCGGUGACUCCCCCGGCAUCGGGCCCGGAGGGGCUGAGAGGAGAGGGGCCCUCGGGCUUCGGAGGCGGCGGCUCCGGGGUCUGAGCUGGGAGGCGGAGAAGGUGCGGCCGCAGGGACUGCGGGCAGGGGAGAGCGCGAGAGCCCCAACUUCCGGUUCCGGAAAAGCACUGAAGGGAACCACGUGGUAUUCCAAGUGCCGCCCCCUGCGGCAACGCGGCCUUAUGGGAAGUGAAGUUUGGGCUCCAGGAGUGACUCGUGCGCAUGCUCCGCAGUGACCUGCAAGUCCCAUAGGUUAGAACAAGGAACCGGCCCAAUUAUUAUUAUUGUUAUAUAUUAUCAUUAAUAUUUUAUAAGUUAUUAAUAAUAUACAAUAAAUUUAAUAAAAACAAUAUAAUAAUUUAUAAUAAUAUAUUAUUAUUAAUAAUAAUUGAGAUACAUUUACAUUCCCUUGAGCAGGGCAGGGAAGGAAGGGCAGGGCGGGGGGGGGGCGGGGAGCCGGUGGCGCCGCCAGUCCCACCCGGCCCCCCCAAGGGGCAGCUCCCGCUCACACCCGCAGAGGCCGCUGUUCCCCUUUGUCCUUGGUUCUCCCGGGGACCCGGACUUUAGGGCGCCGGGGUCAUGACCCGCGCCUGCGCAGAGUCCCCGCCUCGCUCUCUCCGGGGUCUCUGGAUCCAGGGGCCACGUGGGGAGCAAGUCAGAAAAUAGCCUCGGUCCGGGAGGGGAAGAGCCUCGGUUUCGGGCACAAAGAAACCACGGCUGUUGUUCGGGGCCUGCUUGGCUUGGAGCCAAACGCUUGUCUCUGUUUGGGCCGGAGAUUCCCGCCUCCCCGAGGGAUUUUUUUAACGAGGUGAAGCCGGCCCUUCUCCCGCCUCUUUGCUUGCGGAGCCACAAUUCCUGAAUGGGCGCGGGCUGCGGCAAACUGAGGCCCGGGAAAGACCUUAGCUCAGAAGGGCCAAGUCUGCCCCCGACCCGCAUCUUGGGUUUGUUGAUACAGAACUUUGUGGGCAAGAGGAAGUCCUGACUUUUCAGUGCCUUGUCCAGAUUUGCCACAACUUUGUCUUUUAAUUUCACGGUUGCCAUGAUUUCCAUAUUGUUUGAUUCUAAAGAAAACAACCUUUUUCAACGACUCAGAAGGUGACUUACGACUCUCGCCAUAGUCCAAGUGCUCAGUGAUAAGAGCCUGUACCACGUGGGGGGCUGUGUCAGAGGAGAAAGGGGAUAGGAAUCAUCUACGGCUUUGGGCUGGUUUGUCAGAUGGACAAAUAAUUCUAAUAUUUGAAGCCAGUGGAGUCAUGACUUGUGACGUGAUAUACUGAGUGUCCUCUUCUGGUUCCAACUGAGAGUGUAAUGUGUGUACCCGGUGCUCAUGGUGCAGGUGAAUCUGGCUGUGGUUUCAAGAGAUACAGAGACUGAGGGAAGCUGAGUCAGCACCGUCUGGAAGGAGGAAGCUGGAGAAAUGAUCCACAAAGGAAGCAAGGGAAAGGUAGCAGCAAAGAAUAGGGUUCUUGUGACUAGUCCUGACCUGAGCGGAGUGUGAACAGUAAGAGGCAGACAAGAGACCAGGCUAUGGUGCAGGGAGUCCCAAGAACUCUACUCUCCAAAGAGCACACAGAGAGGCCAGAGCUUUUUUAGGCCCCUGCUAUUCUUUCUCUGAAACCCUGUGAUGGUCUCUGGAGAAGGUGAGAGGUCUAGGUACAAAUCUGUGUCUGAUCCUGUGCUUUCAUAACCACCUCUUGGGUCCCACCUCUAGGCUUCUGGUGGGCUGUUUCUGUCUGGUGGUAGGGAGAGGUCUUGAGAUAUCUUGAACUGGUCCAGUUGAAAUGUUACACAAGAGCGAUUUCAGGGGUCAGCGCAUCCAUAGACCUAGCCAGCUGGGCUGAUCCUCCUCUGAGCUUACCAGGCUCCUCAUGUACCCGCUCCUGCACAGGUACAGUCUCACAGUGUCAUCUGCUGGCUACAGAACCACAUGCACCCUACUCUUGUAAACUGUGCAUCAUUUAGAAUCACAAUUACUUCCAUGGACACAAGGCUUAAAGUAUUUUCUGUUGGAGACCAUUCUACCCUUUGUAUACAGUUAUAGAGGAGAAAUGCUUUAAAUAAUGAAAUAAUUUCAAUUUUGUAUGUGUGAUAUCACCUCUGUUAAUAUCACUUUAUCAAAAAUAAUUGUUUGAAUUGGUUCAUUGAGCUGUUCUAGUAGGGGGUCCGAGCAGAAUGUCAGCUAGACUUAUUCAGCUCUAGAAACUUCUCAUUGAACAUCUAGACUAUUUUCUCCUGGCUGAUCUGCCGCUUUCAGCCUCUUUCCUCAUGCUCUUCCCGGUUUUCCCAAAGAGUACGAUUCCAUCAACAUCUGCAGACUUCAUAUCUCCCAGCAACUGCUCCAUCGCUCUUUAGAAUGUGGUAAAUACUUGUCCUUGGACCAAAUGGGCAAAUAAGGAGAAUCCAGUUGGACGGAUUCUGAUAAAGAAGUCUUUACCUUUGCCAUUUUUACCAUUGAUCUUUUCUCUUUUAUUGUACCAUUCCUUAAGCUAUAUUAGUGUAAGUUGUACUAGUUAUGUACAUCAUUGGGAUCCUGUUUUUAUGUGGUUUCUUCUCAAAUUAAUUGAUUUGUCAUUUCCCUCUCCAGGGUCCUCAUUUAACAUAUGAGGAAACCGAGUCAAAUAGUAGUUAAGUCAUUUUGCCAGCAUCACACUAAUAGUAAAUGUCUGAAGCCUGAUUUGAAUUCCAUCUUCCAGAAUCUCGGCCCAGAACUGUCAAGUGUGCAGCUUCCUGCCAGGAGGAUCCAAUAAUAGACUCAAGGAAUGAAUGGACAAAUAAGUACUAUUAAACCACUAAUUCAACUAUUUGUGUCCCUGUCAAUGUUAAGAAUGGAUCCCCUAAAAUCCUGCUUUGUUCAUCAGGGAAAGAACACUAGGAAGGUCAUUUUAUUUAACCAGAGUCCUACAGCUAUUAAGCGCCUGGGGCUGGUUUUGAGAUCAGCCUUUCUUGACUCCUGUUCCAGUGCUCGGUCCAUGACUGCACAAAGCUGCCAGGAGCGAGGUUCUCUUCCAUGAAAGGACUUGACUCUUUAUUGCCAGAAUUUCUUUUGACAGAAAUGGAGACCCAGCCCUUUGGAAAGGACUUUGAACAAACAUGGCCACGUGACUUGUGCCAGAGGAGUUGGAAGCAGGGGCUGGGGUGGUCUCUGGCCUCGGGCCACUUGUUGGGCCUUCGGUGACAUCUGGCCUGAUGUUUCAGACUUGAAGGAGGGCUUUGGGGUCUUUUGGGGUCAUAAUUAUCAAAGGGAAAAUGACAAGAUUUAUAAGGGAAUAACAGAUGUCCAGAAAUAUCUACACACACAGAGAUACAUAUAAAGCUUUAUUUCUUCAAAAUGUUUUUUAAACUGGACUGUUUCUGUGUAGGUGCAUAAAUGUUGCUUCUGGCCCCUGGUUUCUUUUGUUAUGUUUCAUUAAAAGGAAGAUACAAAUGUAUCAUGUGCCAGAGAGGGGGGAGGGGGCGAAGGGUUGGUAGGGCGGGUGGUGGUGGGGAGGCCACAUUGGUAUUCUGGCAGCAAAUUCUAGUGACCAGAUUUUGUCUUAGCAUCCUGAAGAGGUCCAAAUAGUUCCAAUUCAUCAGGGAUGAACAGAACCAGCUACAGCCAGCAUAAGAACACUGGGAAACGAGUGUCCACUGCUUGCGUUUUUGUUUUUCUUCCCAGGUUAUUUUUACCUUUUUCUAAAUCUGAUUUUUCUUAUACCACAAGAUAACUGUAUUAAUAUGUAUACAAAUAUUGUAUUUAACAUAUACUUUAACACGUUUAACAUGUACAGGACUGUCUGCCAUCUAGGGGAGGAGGUGGGGAGGAGGGGGAAAGUUGGAACAGAAGCGAUUGCAAGGGUCAAUGUUGAAAAAUUACCCAUGCAUCAAUUUUGUCAAUAAAAAGCUAUAUAUAUAAAAAAAAAGAAUAUAAGAGAUUUAAAAAAAGGGCUUUGUUCUGGUUGUGCCGGCAGGUUCACCCACUCCAUCACACUGUCUCCUUGAGGAAGGACUGCUGUGGGUGCCUCUUUUGUAGCAAAAACUGAUAUUUUUUCUGCAGCUAUGUACAAUUUGUAAUUCCUUAGUGUUCCUAUGGUCUUUGUAGACAUGCUUCUAACAUUUCUUCCUCAGGUGCACAUCCCAAUAUGUCAUCUAUAUAAAUGUAAUAGCACAACUUUUGGAAAUGCUUUUCUUACUGGAGUAAGAGCAGCAGCAACAUAUUUUUGACACAUAGUAGGGCUGUUUUUCAUUCCCUGUGGCAUAACUGUCUGUUCAUACCUUUUAUAAGGCUCAGCUAAGUUACCGCUGGGCACUGAAAAGGCAAAUCUUUUUGUAUCUUCCUUAUCUAGAAGAAUAGAAUAAAAACAAUCCUUAAAGGUCUAUAACCCAGAGGCCAUUCUCUAGGCAACUACAUAGGAGAUGGAAGCCCAGGCUGAAGAGUUCCCAUAGUUUCCAUCUGUUCAUUCACCUUUCUUAAAUCAGUCAACAUCCUCCAUUUUCCAGAUUUCUUUCUUACAACAAACACUGGGGAAUUCCCAGGACUUAGAGAAGGUUGUGGGUGUCUUUGGUUCAAGUUGUUCCUUACUAUAUUCAAUUAAGGCCUGAAUUUUAUCGCUACCUAAGGGCCACUAUUCUAUCCACACUGGCGUAUCAGUUUUCGCCUUGAGAGAGAGAGAGAGAGAGAGAGAGAGAAAGACUGAGACACUGAACCCACUGGACUCCUGGCAGCUUUGGCUGAAUCAGCAGCCUGGGCCAGGUCUGGGCUGGCAGGGGAGGUUUUUGUCCCACUUCCUCAGUAAAUGUAGCACUGUGUUAGCUGUAGCUUCUACCACUACCAUAACCUAUUGCACACUAGUAAUG
rnacentral:lncRNA from 1 species